rnacentral:rRNA from 1 species
CGAAAGCCUGAUCCAGCAAUGCCGCGUGUGUGAGAAGGCCUUCGGGUUGUAAAGCACUUUUGUCCGGGAAGAUAUGGCUCUGGUUAAUACCUGGGGUCCAUGACGGUACCGGAAGAAUAAGGACCGGAUUACUACGUGCCAGCAGCCGCGGUAAUACGUAGGGUCCAAGCGUUAAUCG